rnacentral:lncRNA from 1 species
AUGUCUCCCCGCGGCGCGGCGCGGUGCGGUGCGGGGCUGGGUCCCCCCGAGGCGGGCGGCUGUGCCCCGGCCGGCCGGUCGGUGGGUGGGUCGGUGGGUGCCCGCGCGUCCCCGGCGGCAGCGGGCUCACACCAUGUCGCGGCGGCGGCGGCAGGAGCGGCGCCGGGGCCGGCAGCCUCUGGCAGCCUCACGGUGCGCCCCGCGCCCGGGCAUGGCACGGCACGGCCCGGCCCGGCGGGGCGGCGCUCACGCCGGGAGCCGGCAGCGGCAGCCGCGGCCCCGCUCUCGCAUGGAGGGGCUCACGCCCAGCGCCGCGGCGGAGCCCCCGCCGCCUCCAAGCCCUUCCCGCGGCGCUGCCCUCGCAUGAAACGGCGCCGGGCACCGGCGGGCAGGGGCUGCGCGUCCCGGCGGCGGCGGGGCACGGGCGCGGGGCUGGAGCUGGGUGCUGCGAGCCAGACAAAGAUAGCCGGGGAGGGGGAGGAGGAGGAGGAGGAGGAGGAGAAAAGGGAUACAAAAUAUACUGAGAGCGGGGAGGGAGAGAGAGAAAACAGCUCCCCCUUCCCUUCUCCAACAGGAAAAACCGGCGGAAACGCGCCCGCACCAAAGCACUGCUGGAGACCCCAGGCCCACAGGAAAAACGUGCCUGCCCCAUCAGAGACCUCUGCAGAAACGGAGGCAGAUGCUGGCCUCCAGAACCAGACCCAACACUCAGGUCAUGUUAAUACAUCAUCUACUAACAGCCAGAACUGUCUCAGGCUCGUUCCUGCUCCAAAGCAUCCUUCAGCAGAACCUGAAUCGUGGAAAACGCCCAUUAACCCCUCCCGAGCUAGUCACAUCAGGCAGUUGCACGCAGGUGUAAACCUUGGCAGGAUUUGUCUCUCAUUGAAGUUCUUUAUCACACCGAUACGGCAAAAAUGUUACCUGCUUGCAAAAGGUCGAGUUACGUUUCCUGUGGGAACCAAGGUUUUCCUGUCUCUUCUACUUUAACCACAAAAUUACAUAUACAUAGCUAUAAGUAUCACAGAAACAUACUUUUGAAACAAAGCAAACCUGUUGA